rnacentral:misc_RNA from 1 species
UAACCAUAGUAACUGUAGUGGUGAGUAAGUAGGGUAAGUCUUUCUUUCGUGAAUAUAUGUAUAUAUUGUUAUUUGAACACCGACAUUAUAUCUAUGGCAAUAUUCAUUAAAUGCUUCGUAUUUCAAGUUAAAAAUGAAUCCGGUUGUUGAGAUAUUUUGUGUUGAAGAUGUUUACGACUUAGCGGCUGAGAUUGGAAAAGAAUUCGAGAAUAUAAUUGAUGUUUAUGGUGUUGAAGUUGUUACUAAUUUGAUGCCCAAAGUCCUCUGUGCUUUAGAACAGCUGGAAUGCUGUGCAGUUAGAAACGAUCGUGUGGAUUUAGAAGUAUCAGAUCUUAAUUCAACUAUUGCCCAACUUCAGUAUGAAAAAGUUGAAAAGCAAGAGUCUAAAAGCAAAUUAGAAAAGGAGCUUGAACAGAUAGAAGAUAUUUGGAGAGAAGAAACUAACAAGCUAAGUGAACUUGUUUCAAAGCUUAAGGAGGAAAAUUUUCAGUUAAGCAGUUCACUAAAGGAAAAAGAGAGCUUUCUAUCUGAAAAAUCAUCUGCUAGCAUAUCUGAGCAAGAACUGAAGGUGUCACAGAAACUGAAGGAAAUUGUGGACAGACAGAGAGAGCAAAUUGAUCAGAAAAACAGAGAACUUAAUCAAAAAAGUAAUGAUAUUGAUGCUAUCCAGCAACAGGUUCAAAAGCUGGUGCAUUUAAAUAAGGACUUACGAAGGAAACAGAAACAUCAACAGCAUCAGAUGAGAGCCAUUGUUGAAGAAAAAGCAGAAUUGCAAGUGUGCCUUGAAGAUUGCCAGAGGGAGAUUCAGCAGUUACAUGAUCAACUGGGGAUAGCAAUGAAAGAAAACCUCGAACUGGCACAAGCUGAAGGUGAACUAGUGCCAGAUUUGAGAGGAAAGAUGGUGAUAGACUUAGAUGACCCUGCCAGACCACGGUUUACAAUAGCCGACUUGAAAAAAGUCAUUUUUGAGAAAAAUGAGCUGAAAGCUAAGAUCAGUGAGCUUGAGGAUGAGUUGAAAUUAUACAAACCAAGUCUUCCAUCAAGGUCAGACAUUCAAUCAGAUAUUGUACCUCCAAUUGAGGAUCUUCCAGUGCAAGGACCCAUAAACAGAGAACCAGACGAAAAACUUUUCCGAUCAACCAGAACUUCUGGCAUUCAUCGGUUUUUUCGCUUUAUUUUACGGAGCUGAUACCAUCUCUACAGAUCCUUGUUCAAGUUUUCCAUUGUGAACUGGCCUAGUCUUAUCUCAUUUUGCAAGAGGUUUCUUGAUGGUACCGUCUAUGGGCAGAAAAGGACACAAAAAUGAUUAAUUUCACUGGAUAGGUAAUACUAUCCUUUCAUGGCUAGCUCUGUUAGCUGUAUGGAUAACUAAUUAGAUCAUUUAAUGAAAUUACAAGCUUUUUAAACUUGUAGCACUUUAUAUUUUUAACCAAUUUGGAGAUGAUUCUAGUAAGUGUAGCAAUAUUUAAUAAGAACGUUUCAUAGUUUUGUUUAUUCCAAGGUAAAAAAUGUGUGAAACUUUGAAUAAUUUAUGGUAUUGGCUAGUUAAAUAUGAUCUACUUAUGCAAAUUAUAAAACAUUUUACUGAACAUGCUACUGGUUCUCUGAACCAUUCAUCUGUGCAAGGUUUUGGGGGAAGUUUUCUAUGUACUAGAUAAUUAGGAUAUGGACCAUCUGUAUUAUUUCUUGUCACAUGGUUUAAAUGUGGCAUGUUUACUUUAUGAAUACAAAAAAAGGUGGAUUGAAUUACUGGGAAGCAGAAUUCUUUAGAGAAUCUACACUUUUGGAUAAAAAAAAUUCAAUAUAUAAUAUUUUUUAGUUUAAAAUUGCCAAGUUGUUUAGGUCUGAAAGUUGUUCUCAGGAAGAAAGUGGUUUUCAGAAAGUAAACCACCAAAUUUGUGAUACACUUGAAAAUAUAAACAUUUGGAUACUGUGACUGUGUGUGUGUGUGAAACAAAAAUUAUAUCUUGUACAUACAUUUCAGGUGUAAAUUUAAAAGUACAGAAAGGUGCUAUGGUUUCUUACUGCUCUUAAAGAGUUAGAAUAACUGUGUUAUCUUAUCAAGUUCUGGAAAGAAAACUCUUAUUGCAUACAAAUCUUGGAACUGUUGAGUUUGUCACUAGUACAUUAAACAUUUAAUAAUAGUAGGCUUCAUUAUACAAGCUUCAUAAUGCAAAUGUCAGUUAGUAAAAUCUAAAGAAUUAAAUUAUAAAGAAAUUGUUUGGUGUAUGGAUAAGCUUUGCACCAAGCUUUUAUAACUACUUCCAUUAAGAAGCAUAGUAUAGAUAUCUCUCAUGGAAAGAGAGAUACCACAUACCAGUUAAUAAAGUUAUAUUUAUUUAUUUUUUUGAUUCUUUCUACAAUCUGAUUAUUUUCCCAACAUUUAUUGUAAAAAGUUAUCCUGACUGAUUGUUAGUUUUAAGAUGUAUUGCAUACUGAGACAUUAGUUGUAAGCAUUUAGGAAUGAGUAGAGAAUUCUGGCCAGCUAUAAUACAGACUGAUUAACAUACAGAAUGCAUGAUGUAAUUCUUAUCAGCAACCAGUGAAUUUUAUAUGUCACUGUUUUGUUUUUUUAAAAAUGCAAAAUAACUAAAAAAAGUUGGAAACAUUUUCACUGGUUAAGUGGAUUUUAGGGUAGCUUGCAGUUAGUAGUUAUAGUAACUCUAGGUUUUAUUUAAAUUUUAUUAAAAAGGUUUGUCCUCAGUGAGCUUGUCUGGAGUUUAGUUUUAUCAGAUCUUGAAGACCUCUGGCUGAAAAUGUGUUUUUCCAAAUAUACCAAGUUAGGUAAAACUCCCUGAAUCUUCUAAUAUAAUCAUUGAUACUUUUUUUCUCGUACUUUGCUGACAAUUCUGUGACUGGUUGGGUUACAUAACGAAAUUCAUAAGUAAUUUAUUUGGAAAGGUGUGCAAUAUUUUUAGUGGCAUUUAAAAUGCUGUAAUAGUUUGGUAAUGUAGUACUUUACUCAGAAUAAAAAUUGCCAUGAAUGUCGUUCAUGUACUUAUCCUUGUAAGGGUAGGAAAGCAGUUUGUCUGACUUUAUUUUGAUCUGGUUAACAUAAUGUGUGACAAGUAUUAAAAUUUGGAUGAACAUACUUUUUUCCUCCCAUACAAUUUAGUGUUAAAAACAACUUGUUCUUCUCACACUGACAGUGUAUGAUCUUGUUUUCUUUUUCAGCUGUUAUUAUGAACUAUAAUUUAAGGAAAAAGUUAACUGAAAUACAAGAAAAGUGAAAGGCUAUGUGUCUAAUGUAGUUAUUAAUUUUGUUGAAACACGAAGAAAAAGUGACGGGAAUUCAACUUCUACAGUAAAAUAUUGAUGACUUUUGUUAAUUUUAUUUCUGUUUUGAAAUUUAUAUGUAAGUUCGGUAAUUUAAAUGUAUAAGAAAAGUGCCACACAAAAAUCAGCUUGGUGGGCUAAACCUGCUUCUGGUCUGCAGUUUGAGGAAUAGAAUCUUGACAAUUUUAAGUACCCAAAUUGCUCUGUGAUAUUACAUUAUUGUGAUUUUUGAUUGCUUAAAAAGGUUAGUAUAUUGUCACACAAGUUUAUGAAUUAUAUGUAUUAAUAUUUUUAUAGCAGCUAGUAAGUUUUGGUAGUUUAAUGACAAUUUUGCUUUAACUAGUCCACGGCAGGUUGAUAUGAUGGUGCUUGUAUAAACUAACCUUGUUUAAUGUUGAAACAUUUUUUGGCAAUAACCAGUGGUCAAAUGUUCCAAGUUUCUACUGUAUAACUUGCUUAUGUUUUAUUCAAUUAAGAGACCUUGUAUGUAUUUCAAGAAACGUUUUUGACAUUGAGUUUCUUUAAGUACUAAAGAACAAGAGUUGGAUUAUUUUGCAUCUAAAUUUUUUUUAGAUAUAAAACUUCGACCUUAUUUUAUUGUCUUACAUAAUUUUUUUUUCAAUCUUGUCCAUCACAGUGACUAAUGGAUAAGAAUUAAAUAAAAAUACAAUUUUACUCGGUGUUUGUGUUAAUUUACUAUUAAAUGGAACCUUUUCUUGUUAUUGAGCUAAUUUAAACGUACAAGCACACAACACUGAAUCACAUGCAAACAGUUUUCUUUCUUGAAAGAAAAAGGGGGUUAAACUGAUAUUAACCUACAAAUUGGUUUCCCUCUCAGGCUAUUUUUUUUUAUAGUAAAAAUUCCAAAAUUUCAUUUUAUAGCUUCAUUAUGACAUUACUAAAAAUGGUCUUCCAUGAUGGUAUGGUAAAUAACAAUGUUUGGACUUGUGUCUGAGUAUAUACAGCUAAGACUAAUUUGUAAUGACUUUGUACAGUUUUUGCUACAACUAGAACUUGUAUACUCUUUUGUUGCUUUUUCAAUCUCUUUGAUGCAAUAGCUUUUUUUAUUUUAUGUUAUUAGUGAAACAGUUCUAUCCAGUGUUGAUGUUGAGCUUUAGAUUAUAUUGUUAGCUCAACCUGAGUGAUUGUAUAAUUUUGAGGAAAAUAAUUAAUGUUUCAUAUAAUAUAUUUUUUUGAUAAAAAAGUUAGCGCAAAGGAUCACGUAUAGACUGUAAUAGACUUAAAAUAAGACCCAAAACUCGAGGGCUUUCGAUUAGUUGACUAUUCGAAAGCACUCAAGUUUUGAGUCUUAUUUUAAGUCAUAUAAUAUAUGUUAUGUACAGACAUGCAUUAAUAUUUAAGAGUAUCUACAGUAUUUUUUGCAGUAUACUUGUACUAACCAAACCUUUAUCUAACAAAAAUGUGAUGUAGAAUCAGUUAAUUCUUUAACUUCUUUAAAUAUAUUUCAUAUUAUCAGUUUAUUACCUGCCAUAAAAUGUAACCAUAUAUAUUAUAAUUUUCAGUUACUUUCAAGGCUAACCAACUGUAUACUUUGUAGUCUGUAUAUCAAAUUACCUGUAUCAAAUAAUAAAUGUUACCUUGCUA